GUGGGGAAUCUUCCGCAAUGGACGAAAGUCUGACGGAGCGACGCCGCGUGAGUGAAGAAGGCCUUCGGGUCGUAAAGCUCUGUCAUCAGGGACGAACGGCCGGUGGAGUGGAAAGCCACCGGAUUGACGGUACCUGAGAAGGAAGCCACGGCUAACUACGUGCCAGCAGCCGCGGUAAUACGUAGGUGGCAAGCGUUGUCCGGAAUUAUUGGGCGUAAAGCGCGCGCAGGUGGGAUCUUAAGUCCAUUUUUAAAGUUCGGAGUUCAACUCCGUGAUGGGAUGGAAACUGGGAUUCUUGAGUACCGGAGAGGGAAGCGGAAUUCCCCGUGUAGCGGUGAAAUGCGUAGAUAUGGGGAGGAACACCAGUGGCGAAGGCGGCUUCCUGGCACAAUACUGACGCUCAUGUGCGAAAGCUAGGGCAGCGAACGGGAUUAGAUACCCGAUAGUCC
rnacentral:rRNA from 1 species